rnacentral:ncRNA from 2 species
UUUAACCUAAAAGCUCCACCUUGUAUAAGUUCAGGAAUAUGGCCUGAACGUUUCUACUAGCUACCGAGAAUGGCUUGUCUACAAGGAAUGAUGAAUACUUC